rnacentral:rRNA from 1 species
AGGAUAAACGCUGGCGGCGUGCCUAACACAUGCAAGUCGAACGUCUCUUCUUUCGGGAAGAGGAGUGGCGGACGGGUGAGGAACACGUGGGAACCUGCCCUUCAGUGAGGGAUACCGGCGAGAAAUUGCCGACAAGACCGCAUACGCUUCUCUUUUCAAGGGGAGAAGGAAAGCUUUUCGCAAGAGAGGCGCUGGGAGAUGGGCCUGCGGCCGAUUAGCUAGCUGGUGGGGUAAUGGCCUACCAGGGCGACGAUCGGUAGCUGGUCUGAGAGGACGAUCAGCCACACUGGGAUUGAGAACGGCCCAGACUCCUACGGGGGGCAGCAGUGAGGAAUUUUCGGCAAUGGGGGCAACCCUGACCGAGCAACGCCGCGUGCAGGACGACGGCCUUCGGGUUGUAAACUGCUUUUCUCUGGGACGAGCAAGGACGGUACCAGAGGAAGAAGCCCGGCUAACUACGUGCCAGCAGCCGC